rnacentral:rRNA from 1 species
AUGGAUAUUUCAAAUAAAGAACAAGAACAAGAGGAAUUUGAAUCGGUCAUGGUAGCAUUAGCUUUGGAUGUGAUGUUGUCAGAGGAGAGACCGACGUAUGCACGAAGAAAAUUACACCUUUCGCCAGGUCCUGAAGAAAAAGAGACCGCUGAUUUGACAAAAUUACACCUUGUGUCAGGCCUCCAAGAAAAACAGAUCGUCGGAUCAAAGAGACAUGAGAUACAUGACAUGGUGGCCAUGGUCAUUGCAGAUGGAGCCAUACCUGGUACUGAUGAGCAUUUCUAUGCUUCACAACUUUUGUUGGAGCAGAAAUAUCGUGAUGUUUUCUCUUCAUUCAAGGGUUUUGCUCCUAGUGUGAGGCUUGGAUGGAUUAAGAGGACAUGGGAACUGAACAAUAGUUAG